AGUGAACGCUGGCGGUAGGCCUAACACAUGCAAGUCGAACGGCAGCACAGUAAGAGCUUGCUCUUACGGGUGGCGAGUGGCGGACGGGUGAGGAAUACAUCGGAAUCUACUUUUUCGUGGGGGAUAACGUAGGGAAACUUACGCUAAUACCGCAUACGACCUACGGGUGAAAGCAGGGGAUCUUCGGACCUUGCGCGAUUGAAUGAGCCGAUGUCGGAUUAGCUAGUUGGCGGGGUAAAGGCCCACCAAGGCGACGAUCCGUAGCUGGUCUGAGAGGAUGAUCAGCCACACUGGAACGGAACCACGGUCCAGACUCCUACGGGAGGCAGCAGUGGGGAAUAUUGGACAAUGGGCGCAAGCCUGAUCCAGCCAUACCGCGUGGGUGAAGAAGGCCUUCGGGUUGUAAAGCCCUUUUGUUGGGAAAGAAAAGCAGCAGGUUAAUACCCCGCUGUUCUGACGGUACCCAAAGAAUAAGCACCGGCUAACUUCGUG
rnacentral:rRNA from 1 species